UUUCCUACAGUUGUGGAAGUGAAGAGUCUGAAAUGGACCCAUAGGACUGUAUUUCUUCUGGAGGCUCUAGGGGAGAAUCUGUUUGCUUACAUUUCCCAGCUUCUGGAGGCCACCUGAAUUAUUUGGCUUGCAGCCCCUUCCCCAUAGCCAAAGCCUCCUGACCUUUCUGCCCACCUCUUUUGUCAAAGACCCUUGUGAUUGAUUGUAUCCACCUGCAUAAUCCAGGUUAAGCUCCUCAUCUCAAAGUUCUUCAUAUCUGAAAAUUUUUUUUUGUCAUGUAAGAAAAUACAAGUUCUGGGGAUUAGGAUUUGGACACUUUGAGGGAUCAAACCACACUUCCCAACUUCAUUAUAAAUUUUGCAAGAGCAAGGUCUAACUACCAUUGCCAAGUACGGUAUCUGGAACAUUGUGUGUGUGUGUGUGUGUGUGUGUAAGUGUAAAUAUGUUCAAUAAAUGAACAAACAAACAACGUAAUCUCUUUAUCAGAAAGAAAGCACCUUGCAGAAGAAACCACAUACCCACAGCUUACUAAGCAACUAUGUAGCCCAUAUAUUUUUGGACACUACGAUUACCACUCCUCUUAUACCAACUAUAAAGAGAGGGAGAACUACAGCCCCUAAUUAGCCUGUCCUCUUUGUAAGGUUUGUGAAUGCGUCUGUCUGGGCUCUGGCCUGCCUUCUCUUUCCUUCCACCAGGCUUGUUCAGCAUCACUGUUGCCAGUCCUUGAUUGAUAACUCACACAUUGAAUUGAUCAUAUCCUUGAAUUAGAAGGCAGAUGUCACAUGAACAGGAAUCCAGGCAAAUCAAGGCAAACCCCUUGGAAGUGGCCACAGUAUUUGGUCUGACCCCAUGGCAGCACUUUCAAAAAGUUGUUUAUUUUUUUCUCUGAGGAUGUUGGGUGGAACAGCAGAGAUUAAUAGGUUUCCACAAGCCACAGUGGCCAUUUUUCAGAUCAUGGGUUCAUAUACAUCGAAACAUACAUACACACACACACGCAUAUUUAUGUAUAAUCUUUUUUAAGGCAUACAACAAAAAUCUCAUGUUGAGAGCUGUUCACCCAUCAGUAAAUUUCAAUAUAUAUAUUCAUAAAUCGUGCAUCAUUCAAGAAUGCUUUGGAGCUGAGUGGGUAUUAAAGUCACCAAAUCCAAUUCCCUGAUGUCUCUAGCCCCUUCUAUUCUCACUGAGGAAUCUGGGGUCCAGAGCAUGGAAUUUGUCACAGGCCUACCCAUGUGCUGGUGGCAGGGAAAAUAAUUUGAUUCCCUAGGUCUGUGCUUUUUCAAUAGCCACAGUUUCUAGAAAUGAUUCCUAGAAUUUUGUUCCUUAGGUUUCUCAUAUUCUGAUCUUGUUGUGAAUUUGGAUUUAGAGUCUAACAAACAAAUCUAGAUGAAAAGCUUGGUCCUACUCACUUCCAGUGCUUUUGGCACUGACCAAGUUAACUUCUCUGACCACUUUUUCUUCAUGUGUAAAAGAAAAGAGAGGCGGCCGGGCAUGGUGGCUCCUAGCACUGUAAUCCUAGUACUUUGAGAGGCCAACGCUGGUGGAUCACUUGAGGUUAGCAGUUCAAGAGCAGCCUGGCCAACAUGGUGAAACCCCAUGUCUAUUAAAAAUACGAAAAUUAGCUGGGCGUGGUGGCGCGUGCCUGUAGUCCCAGCUACUCAGGAGGCUGAGGCAGGAGAAUCGCUUGAACCCGGGAGGCGGAGGUUGUAGUGAGCUCAGAUGAUGCCACUGCACUCCAGGCUGGGCGACAGAGAGUGAGACCUGGAGAGGGGAGGGGAAGGGGAGGGAAGGAAGAAAAAAAAAGGGAAAACAGAGGGAGAGAAUAUUAGCUUUCUCAUGUGCUUGUUGCAAGGAUUAAAUGAGACAAUGCUUGCAGAAUCACAUUUUACUGUAUUUAUUGACAGAGCAUUCUGUCUCCCUCCUCUCCUUCCUUCCCCUUUGUGUCUGCCUCUUUGGAGACCUGUUCUUCUCUCUGCAGUAUGUCAGUUCAUCGCCACGCAAUAUAUAUCAAGGACUACCAUGAGUCAGAGACUCUGCCAGCACUGGGCAAAGAAGGAAGAAGGCCUUGUCUGGGACAUCAUGGUGCUUAAAGUCUAGAGAAGUGUCCAGAGAAGUCAACAAGUGGGAAGGUAUGGUGGGUCAGGGUGAUUCAGGAGGCACAGCUGGGCCAUAGGAGAGAGAACCCGGCCUAACUUAGGCACCAGAAAGCAUCUAGUAAUAAAAGUGAUAUCUGUGCUGACACCUAUGGAACAUGCAAGUAUUAGCAUAGGAGACCAGGACAGUGUUCCCAGCAAUGGGACAGGUAUGAGUGAAAACCAAGAGGUGAAUGGCACAGACCACGGAAGGGUGGAGAGAGAGGUUUAAUUGUGACUGGAUCUUGAGUUAUGGUGUGGGGCUAAAAGGCAAGACUCAGAGUGGGCAGGGGAGAAUGCAGCAGGAUUGAGAGACCAGGCCUAGGGUAGGGAAGGAAAAGAGAUCCAUAUCCCCUGAGGUCGGUCCAUUCCUGCACCUGACACUGAGCUGGGCCUUGAGGAUGUAGCAGGGGAGGAAACAGAGCAGCUCCCUGAUUCCAUGGCCUUCCAGUCUCUCAGGGAGCAAAGCAAGAGGCAUGGCUAGCAUAUAUGAGGAACUCCAAGCAUAGGAGUUACCAGGGAAUCAAGUGUGGGGCUCUGGAUCACAGACCACAGGAGAGACAGAGAUUUCCAGUAGAGCCCAGCUCCUCAGGCUGCCCUGGAACUUUACAGUGGUCCAUGGUAUAUGGCCUCCCUGGGCUCUUACAUCAGGGCUCACAGAGUCAGGAAUGUGGGCUUUUCAAUAAAAGUGCAGGCAAAGGGCCCACAGGGAGCCCUGGCUCAAAUGAGCUUUUAUAUUUUUAUGUGGAACAUAAUCACGUUUAGCCAUGAUCGAGGCUGCCCGUUACUGCUAUUAGAGCGUUUAUGGUUCUAAGGGGGAUAUGAGACUUUGACAGUACGUGCUUGCAACUAAAAGCAACGGGGUGUGCUGAGGCUAGAAGCCACCUUGAAAUGCCAGGAACACAGAACUUAGGCUGAUGUGCAUUGCCUUUGAAAGCUGGACUGACAGGGCUCGGUGUUCACAGGUUCCAGAGAGGGUCCUCUCAGGAGGGACAGUGGGGUCAUAAAAGUAAUAACCACCCAAUAUAUGUAGGUUCUUUGCAUGCUUUAUUUAUCAUCUUCAGGAUCCCUAAAGGUCUUUCCCAUUCAUUAGGCCUGUUUUCCAUGUGUUGAAACCCAGGCUCAGAGAGCUUAGUGGUUUCUCCCAGAGGACAUAGUCAGCAAGUGUGUUAGUUUCUUGUGCCUGCCAUAACAAAUCACCACAAACCGGGUGGCUUAAAGCAAUAGAAACUUACUCUUUCUCAUUUCUCAGAGGCCAGAAGUCUCAAAUUAAGGUGUGGGCAGCGUUGGUUCCUUCUGGGACCCUAAAGAAGAAAUUGUCCCUUAGCUCCUAUGGCUGCUGGCACUCCUCCGCGUUCCCUUGGCUUGCAGGUGCGUCACCCUAUCUGCUCCUCCCUCCUCACGUGGCUUCUCUCUGCGUCCCUGUAUCUUCUGUAUCUUCUCUUCUUCUUUUAAGGAUGCCAGCCAUAGAAUUUGGGCCCACCUUCAUGUGGGAUAAUUUCAUCUUGAGAUUCUUAGCUGAGAUUCUUAACUGACUGCCUACAAAGGCCCUCUUUCCAAACAAGCUUACCUUCUGGGAUUCUAGGUAAACAUGAAUUUGGGGAGGACACUAUUCAACCAUGACAGUAAGUAAUGGAGACAGGGACUGAGCCAGGCCUGUCUUGGUGCAGCCACCCACACACAGCACACAUGGUUGGAUGAUGCUUCAUUUGCUCACAGCCCCUCUGCUUCCCUGUGCUCCAGAGCCCCCCCACAGCUUUGUCUUACUUCCUCACUGCAAGCUGGCUCCAAACCACUUCUCUCUAGCACAGACCAGGUCUCUGCAGAACUCUCCUUAGCCAGGGACAUAGCCCUGAAAGAGUCACAAAGCCACCAGAAACCCUAUAGGGAAACACCAUGGUACAGAAAAGAAGCGAACCCUACUGCUCUUGGAAUGUGACUCAACACUGAGUCUUAGCUCUGCUUCUCAUAAGCUAGUGACUUUGGGUAAGUUCCCUCACCUCUCUGAGCCUCAUUUUCCCUAUCUGUAAAUUGGGUACAACAUCCAUUAGGUGUGCUUUUUGGAAAUAAGUAGGUUAAAGAGCACACAGCUUCUGAAGGUUCCUGGCAAAGAGUAGGUGCUCAUCAGAUGUUUGCUGCAUUUGAAUCUAUUUGCUUCUCUCAGUGACAGAGGGGGAAAGUGUGACCCCUAAAAAGAGAAAGGUUAUUUGGGCUCCGUCAAGUACAAGAUAAUAUAUGGGAGUAGCUGUAGAUAUAAAUGUACAUGUAUCAGGCACAAGCAUACAUAUAUACACAUGCAUAUACCCCAAAUGUGUUGAAUCAUUGUUCUGUGGAAAUAUCUAUGCCCCAUUUAUCGACCCAUCCAUCCAUCUCUUCAGUUGAGAGCCUAUGCUAUGUAUCAGAUCCCGUGUAAAUGCUGCACUUACUUAUAGUAAGUAAGUGCAUUUAAUCUUCACACCUAACCUUGAGGUCUCUAGUUUCAUAUCCUAUUGUACUGACAAAUAAACAUAACUUCCCCAAGUUGACUCACCCAGAAAGUGUCUGGGGAGCAGACAGCAUGUGCAGUUACCUCUUCCUGGCUGGGUCAGGAAAAAGUUGAGGGAAAAGGUGGCAUCUGAGUGGUGCCUUGGAAAGGCAGCAGCCACACAGCUCAUGAAUCAUCUGUGGCUCACUAUGCGGUGGAGGGAACAUGGGAAACAGAGCCAGAUAAAUUCAAGUUUGUGCUCUGGCUCUGCUGCCGGCUGGCUCUGUGACGUUGAGGUACUGACUAUAUCUUUCUGUGCCUUUAUUUAUUUUGCAUAUGUUAAAAGUGGAUGAGGCAGGAUAUGGUGGUUCACACCUAUAUUCCCAGGGUUGGAGGAUUGCUUGAGGCCAGGCUGGGCAAUGUGGCAAGACCCCAUCUCUACAAAUUUUUUUUAAGUUAGCGGUUGGGGGGUGCUGUAGUCCUUGCUACCGGGGGAGGCUGAGGCUGGAAGAUCACUGGAGUCCAGCAGUUUGAGGCUGCAGUGAGCUAUGAUCACACCACUGCAGUCCAGCCUGGAUGACCAAAUAAGAUCGUGAAGACCACGUGACACAGAAAUAGUGAACCCAAGAUGUAAGACUAGAGUCCCUUACAUCUUUCCUCCUGCGAUGAAAUAUGUUCACUCUUAGAGUCUUGGAUCCCAAGAACUAACAUUUGUCUUUACCAAGUAUUCUAGUUUCAUAUCGUACCAAACUACAUCCAAACUCAAUGGCUUUAAAUAAAAGGUCAUUUUAUUUUGUUCACAACUUUGUAGAUGAAGAAUUCAGGAUGCGUUUAGUUGAGUGAUUCAUCUCUAAUGGAGAGUGAUGCCUCAUGGACAGCAGACACUGGAGGGUCACUUCCAAGGUGGCAUUUCUUCUCACAAGCCUGGGCUGGGAAGGCUGACUGCGGAUGCUGCAUCCUGACUUUGGAGCCAUUAAACAGACCAUCUACAAGUGGUUUCUCCUUGGCACUCGGCCACCUGGAGUGUAGCAGGCACACAUACAUGUUCUCUGAACGCCUCAGCUCAGCAAGGGGAGUCUGGAAAGAGAAAAACCUGCCUUUGGAUUGAAACCUGCCUUUGAAAUCUGGCUCUGCCCUUUUUGAAUUGGGCAGGCUGUGUGUCCUUGGUUUCUUCUCGUCUGUAAAAUGGCUCUAAUUACGCUUCCUCAAGAGAUUUUUGUGAAGGCUCAGUAUACACAUAUAUGCAAAUAACACAGGAUGCUGCAUUAAAUCCUCAUUUCUUUUCACUCUUCUUCUCCCCAACAGCAGAAGCUAGGGGUGAGAGAAGGCUUUGUGGUGAUGUUCAAAGCUCAUGUCAGGGUAACCAGGACUUACUGAGGUUUUGCAGUGUUUUAAGUAUUUUUCAUGGGCUCUGUGAAUACCAAAAUAAAGGAGACAAAGUAUCUGCUAGGACUUGUGCUUCUCAAAUGAUCUGAUAAAACACCGAAUUUUCUUUUUCUUUUUUUCCCAGCUCAUUGUAUUUCCAAUGAAUACUAAUUAUGAGAAUGUGAUAUGACAAAAAGAAUAAAAUGCAAGAUGCAAGCCCAGCCUUUUUUUUUUUUUUUUUUUUUUUUUUUUUUUUUUUUUGAGGCAGAGCAUAGUCUUGUUUCUGUACAUAGCAUGUCCCUUGAGUAGCAAUGAUACAUUCUUUGGAUCAAAUUCACAGGUCAUUUCUGCAAAGUUUUGCAUGACACUGAGAGAAGGAGCAACCAAAGGACUGCAAACAGUUGCAUAAGUAAAAGUGAGACAUAAAACUUCAUAGCAACCUCAAAU
rnacentral:lncRNA from 1 species